rnacentral:misc_RNA from 1 species
GAUGAAGAACGUAGCGAAAUGCGAUAAGUAAUGUGAAUUGCAGAAUUCAGUGAAUCAUCGAAUCUUUGAACGCACAUUGCGCCCCUUGGUAUUCCGAGGGGCAUGCCUAUUCGAGCGUCAUUUAAACCUUCAAGCUAAGCUUGGUGUUGGGUGACUGUCCGCUUCACUGCGGACUCGCCUCAAAAUUAUUGGCGGCCGGUACAUUGGCUUCGAGCGCAGCAGAAACGCGAACUCGGGCCCGUCGUAUUGGCUCCCAGAAGCUAUCUUCACAAUUUUGACCUCGGAUCAGGUAGGGAUACCCGCUGAACUUAAGCAUAUCAAUAAGCGGAGGA